UCCGGAGGGUGCAAGCGUUAUCCGGAUUCACUGGGUUUAAAGGGUGCGUAGGUGGGUCUGUAAGUCAGUGGUGAAAUCUCCGGGCUUAACUCGGAAACUGCCAUUGAUACUAUAGGUCUUGAAUUAUCUGGAGGUAAGCGGAAUAUGUCAUGUAGCGGUGAAAUGCUUAGAUAUGACAUAGAACACCAAUUGCGAAGGCAGCUUACUACGGAUACAUUGACACUGAGGCACGAAAGCGUGGGGAUCAAACAGG
rnacentral:rRNA from 1 species